GACGGAGGGUGCUAGCGUUGUUCGGAAUCACUGGGCGUAAAGGGCGCGUAGGCGGCUGUGGCAGUCGGGUGUGAAAGCCCGGAGCUCAACUCCGGAACGGCACUCGAGACGCCACGGCUGGAGGCCGGAAGAGGAGGGUGGAAUACCCAGUGUAGAGGUGAAAUUCGUAGAUAUUGGGUGGAACACCGGCGGCGAAAGCGGCCCUCUGGUCCGGGCCUGACGCUGAGACGCGAAAGCGUGGGGAGCAAACAGG
rnacentral:rRNA from 1 species